GCUUUGCUGACUUUACAGCAGGAGACAGAUAGUUAGUCCUGCUCUGUUCCCUUUGCUGCUAUUAAACAGCGAGGUGCCCUGCAGUUUGCAGACAAGGCUUCUGAACAAAACACAGGGUAAAAAGUAAGAGAAAAGAAGGCAGCACAGCACAGGCAAGGACAUGGGAUAAAAUUGUAUUGGAGAAAAUAAGCCUUAUUAGGAGUUCAAGUGUCUAAAUCCUUAUUUCAUAUAAUAAAGAAGAUAGAUAUUAAAAGUU